GCCGGCUUAGCUCAGCGGUAGAGCAGCGGUUUUGUAAACCGAAGGUCGGGGGUUCAAUCCCCUCAGCCGGCA
rfam:Aureimonas sp. Leaf324 contig_20, whole genome shotgun sequence.